rnacentral:rRNA from 1 species
CUAGGUCAGGCAUGGUCACCCGCUGAGUUAAA